rnacentral:lncRNA from 1 species
GGGUGCACCGUCCUCCGGGCGGGGGGCGCGGAAGGACUAGCAUUGUGGAGGACGCUCCGUGUCCUCCCUCUGUGGCUGCAUAGGUGAUGGGGGAGGUGGGUGCGUGCUGACGGCCGGCGUUCUGGAAGUUCUGCCUCUGCUACCCCCAUCCAGAUGCUGACAUCUGCUUCUGGCGUUGACGCCCCCCUCCCUGUCAAACCCUGGCGGGCGCAUUCCCGCUGACUGGGCGCGUUUCUCCGACCCCAGAGCAGACGGGC